UACGUAGGGGGCAAGCGUUGUCCGGAAUCAUUGGGCGUAAAGAGCGUGUAGGCGGUCCAGUAAGUCCGCUGUGAAAGUCAAGGGCUCAACCCUUGAAAGCCGGUGGAUACUGCUGGACUAGAGUCCGGAAGAGGCGAGUGGAAUUCCUGGUGUAGCGGUGAAAUGCGCAGAUAUCAGGAGGAACACCGAUGGCGAAGGCAGCUCGCUGGGACGUACUGACGCUGAGACGCGAAAAGCGUGGGGAGCAAACAGG
rnacentral:rRNA from 1 species